rnacentral:rRNA from 1 species
UACGGGGGGGGCAAGCGUUGUUCGGAAUUACUGGGCGUAAAGGGCUCGUAGGUGGCCAACUAAGUCAGACGUGAAAUCCCUCGGCUUAACCGGGGAAUUGCGUCUGAUACUGGAUGGCUUGAGUUCGGGAGAGGGAUGCGGAAUUCCAGGUGUAGCGGUGAAAUGCGUAGAUAUCUGGAGGAACACCGGUGGCGAAGGCGGCAUCCUGGACCGACACUGACACUGAGGAGCGAAAGCCAGGGGAGCAAACGGG